UCAGACGAUGCGUCAUGCAUAUCAAUAAGCGGAGGAAAAGAAACUAACAAGGAUUCCCCUAGUAACGGCGAGUGAAGCGGGAAGAGCUCAAAUUUGAAAUCUUAAAGGGUUUCCCUUUACGAAUUGUAGUUUAAAGAAGUGUUUUCUGUUGAGGUUUUGGUAAAAGUUCUUUGGAAUAGGACAUCAUAGAGGGUGAGAAUCCCGUAUUUGACCUUUACUUUCAACUUUGUGAUACACUUUCAAAGAGUCGGAUUGUUUGGGAAUGCAGUCCAAAAUGGGUGGUAAAUUUCAUCUAAAGCUAAAUAUUGGCGAGAGACCGAUAGCGAACAAGUACCGUGAGGGAAAGAUGAAAAGAACUUUGAAAAGAGAGUUAAACAGUACGUGAAAUUGUCAAAAGGGAAGCGUUUGACACCAGUGUUGUUUUUCUGAAAAUCAAUUAAAGAACUGUUUAUGCUAAGUUGUUUAGACUUUAUCAGCUAUCUGUUUAGUUUUGAGCUUUUCUUUAAUGCACUUUUCAGUUAACAAGUCAACAUCAAUUUCUUUUGCUGUAAAAAAGCUUGAGGAAGGUGGCUUGAGAUUCGUCUUAAGUGUUUAUAGCCUCUUGCCUAUGCAGUCGGAGAGAUUGAGGUCUGCAGCGUAGAUCCUUCGGGGCUAAAUGCAUUUGUGCUAAGUUAUAGCAUUUUAUAGACAACUUGUUGACUAUGAUUUGUCUUGUAGCUUACUCGCUUAUGUUAUUUUACCUACGCUUAGGAUGUUGAAGAUGUAGCACAUCAU
rnacentral:rRNA from 1 species